GACGCUGGUGCCGGAUGGUGAGGCGACCGGCUGCAACCCGGUUGAAGUGGGUUCGAUUCCCACCGGCGUCU
rnacentral:tRNA from 1 species